GGGCCGUUAGCUCAGUUGGUAGAGCAGAUGACUCUUAAUCAUCGGGUCGUAGGUUCGAGUCCUACACGGCCCA
rnacentral:tRNA from 1 species